AGGAUAAACGCUGGCGGCGUGCCUAACACAUGCAAGUCGAACGUCUCUUUCUUCGGGAAGAGGAGUGGCGGACGGGUGAGGAACACGUGGGAACCUGCCCUUCAGUGAGGAAUACCGGCGAGAAAUCGCCGACAAGACCGCAUAGCCCUCUCUGGUGAGAGCCAGAGAAGGAAAGCCUCGCAAGAGGCGCUGGAGGAGGGGCCUGCGUCCGAUUAGCUAGUUGGUGGGGUAAGAGCCUACCAAGGCGUCGAUCGGUAGCUGGUCUGAGAGGACGAUCAGCCACACUGGGAUUGAGAACGGCCCAGACUCCUACGGGGGGCAGCAGUGAGGAAUUUUCGGCAAUGGGGGAAACCCUGACCGAGCAACGCCGCGUGCAGGAAGACGGCCUUCGGGUUGUAAACUGCUUUUCUUUGGGACGAGCAAGGACGGUACCCGAGGAAGAAGCCCGGCUAACUACGUGCCAGCAGCCGC
rnacentral:rRNA from 1 species